rnacentral:sRNA from 1 species
UGCUUCUGCUUGAGUACUUGGUGGGA